CAAACGCAUGAAAGAAAUUCCAAACAAGAAUUAAUUGAUAAAAGGAAUUUGUAUCUCAUCAUAAGGGUUUGCAUUUGGAAUCAGUUAAAGAGGGAGAUAUUUUUUAUCAUGUUUUAUUUUCUCCCAAAUUGCAAAUCACAAAGAUUUGUCCUCUUUGGUUCACAAAAGGGGAGAAAAGAAAAGUUUCCAAUGAGAAAAAGCCGCAAGCCAGCAAACAAAAAGAAAGUAACAGCUUUAACAAGGCAGCGCACAAAACAACAACAGUCAUCCAGCAAGCAAAACAAGCAAAGCUAUCCCAAGUAA